rnacentral:rRNA from 1 species
CUAUACAUGCAGUCGUACGCUUCUUUUUCCACCGGAGCUUGCUCCACCGGAAAAAGAGGAGUGGCGAACGGGUGAGUAACACGUGGGUAACCUGCCCAUCAGAAGGGGAUAACACUUGGAAACAGGUGCUAAUACCGUAUAACAAUCGAAACCGCAUGGUUUUGAUUUGAAAGGCGCUUUCGGGUGUCGCUGAUGGAUGGACCCGCGGUGCAUUAGCUAGUUGGUGAGGUAACGGCUCACCAAGGCCACGAUGCAUAGCCGACCUGAGAGGGUGAUCGGCCACAUUGGGACUGAGACACGGCCCAAACUCCUACGGGAGGCAGCAGUAGGGAAUCUUCGGCAAUGGACGAAAGUCUGACCGAGCAACGCCGCGUGAGUGAAGAAGGUUUUCGGAUCGUAAAACUCUGUUGUUAGAGAAGAACAAGGAUGAGAGUAACUGUUCAUCCCUUGACGGUAUCUAACCAGAAAGCCACGGCUAACUACGUGCCAGCAGCCGCGGUAAUACGUAGGUGGCAAGCGUUGUCCGGAUUUAUUGGGCGUAAACCGAGCGCAGGCGGUUUCUUAAGUCUGAUGUGAAAGCCCCCGGCUCAGCCAGGGAG